rnacentral:rRNA from 1 species
CAGUAGCCGCGGGAAUACAGAGGGUGCGAGCGUUAAUCGGAUUUACUGGGCGUAAAGCGUGCGUAGGCGGCUUUUUAAGUCGGAUGUGAAAUCCCUGAGCUUAACUUAGGAAUUGCAUUCGAUACUGGGAAGCUAGAGUAUGGGAGAGGAUGGUAGAAUUCCAGGUGUAGCGGUGAAAUGCGUAGAGAUCUGGAGGAAUACCGAUGGCGAAGGCAGCCAUCUGGCCUAAUACUGACGCUGAGGUACGAAAGCAUGGGGAGCAAACAGGAUUAGACCCCGGUAGUCCCUGUCUCUUAUACAC